CACAACUACGUAUGUAUAAUAAGGGAAAGUCCCGUCCUAAAAAAAUAUCGCAUGCUUCAUUGGAAAUUGAUUGCUCGUCGGAAAUAAGUCACAUAUUUUUUCAAUCACAUUUUACUGAAGCUGGGUUUGCUGCAAAGUCGGAAUAGUUUGCUUUUCAGUCUUCUUGAAAUCUGCCACUCCGUUUUGGGUGCCAAUUGCGACUACCAUGAUUGACAUCUUGUGGAUUUGCGCGCUAUCUGUAGUGCUUAUACUGAUUCAGAGGCAAUCUAUGAACGUUUAUGCAGCUGUUGCCUGUGUGCCAUUGGAGACCCCGGAAGGAGCCAGUCUAAUAGAACCGUUCUCUUGUAACACCGACUACGGAUCGAAAUGCAAGUUUACCUGUAAAGUUGGAUUUGUCAUGAGCAGGAAAGAAGGGGAGGGCCGAAAUGUGACUAGAACGUGCUUACAGCCUGGAAAACGGAGUGGAAAACCCAUUGAAUGUAAAGGUACUAUUUAUAGAUAAGACAAGCUUUUGUUGCAAUUGCAAAUAUCUGUGAUUAGAAUGUUAAGGUAAAUGUACGAAAUGUACGAGAUAUUUGAGGUACAAUAAGCUUACUUCGACGUUUAUCUUAUUUUACAUUAAAUAUGUCACUAUCAAAUGAAUAUGCCGC